AUGGAGUUUUGGCUGAGCUGGGUUUUCCUUGUUGCUAUUUCAAAAGGUGUCCAGUGUGAGGUGCAGCUGGUGGAGACUGGAGGAGGCUUGAUCCAGCCUGGGGGGUCCCUGAGACUCUCCUGUGCAGCCUCUGGGUUCACCGUCAGUAGCAACUACAUGAGCUGGGUCCGCCAGGCUCCAGGGAAGGGGCUGGAGUGGGUCUCAGUUAUUUAUAGCGGUGGUAGCACAUACUACGCAGACUCCGUGAAGGGCCGAUUCACCAUCUCCAGAGACAAUUCCAAGAACACGCUGUAUCUUCAAAUGAACAGCCUGAGAGCCGAGGACACGGCCGUGUAUUACUGUGCGAGAGA